GUAGGGAAUAUUGGGCAAUGGAUGCAAGUCUGACCCAGCCAUCCCGCGUGCCGGAAGAAGGCCCUCAGGGUUGUAAACGGCUUUUGACGGUGAAGAAUCGACAGGAUGCGUCCUGUUUUGACGGUAGCCGUUGAAUAAGCACCGGCUAACUCCGUGCCAGCAGCCGCGGUAAUACGGAGGGUGCGAGCGUUGUCCGGAUUUAUUGGGUUUAAAGGGUGCGUAGGCUGGGAGGUAAGUCAGCGGUGAAAGCACACGCUUAACGGGUGUCUUGCCGCAGAUACUACUUUUCUUGGAUGAGGAGGAGGUCACUGGAACGGAUGGUGUAGCGGUGAAAUGCAUAGAUAUCAUCCAGAACACCGAUUGCGAAGGCAGGUGACUGUACCUUAAUCGACGCUGAGGCACGAAAGCGUGGGGAGCGAACAGGAUUAGAUACCCCGGUAGUCC
rnacentral:rRNA from 1 species